GCCACGGUGGUCUAGUAGUUAGAACGCUGGCCUUGUAAUCCUGGGGUCUCGGGUUCGAUUCCCGGCGGUGCCC
rfam:Zootermopsis nevadensis contig7337, whole genome shotgun sequence.